CGUUUCUGAGGUCCGCCAAAUUGCUUUACGACAAACUUGGCACACCUGAGAAACGCC
rnacentral:pre_miRNA from 1 species